GUGCCAGCAGCCGCGGUAAUACGUAGGUGGCAAGCGUUAUCCGGAAUUAUUGGGCGUAAAGCGCGCGUAGGCGGUUUUUUAAGUCUGAUGUGAAAGCCCACGGCUCAACCGUGGAGGGUCAUUGGAAACUGGAAAACUUGAGUGCAGAAGAGGAAAGUGGAAUUCCAUGUGUAGCGGUGAAAUGCGCACGAGAUAUGGAGGAACACCAGUGGCGAAGGCGACUUUCUGGUCUGUAACUGACGCUGAUGUGCGAAAGCGUGGGGAUCAAACAGGAUU
rnacentral:rRNA from 1 species